UACAGAGGGUGCAAGCGUUAACCGGAAUUAUUGGGCGUAAAGCGUGCGUAGACGGUUAGGUAAGUCGGGUGUGAAAGCCCCGGGCUCAACCUGGGAAUGCCAUUCGAGACUGCAUAGCUAGGGUGCGGAAGAGGGAAGCGGAAUUCCCGGUGUAGCGGUGAAAUGCGUAGAUAUCGGAAGGAACACCAGUGGCGAAAGCGGCUUCCUGGUCCAGCACCGACGUUCAGGCACGAAAGCGUGGGGAGCAAACAGG
rnacentral:rRNA from 1 species